AUUGAACGCUGGCGGCAUGCCUUACACAUGCAAGUCGAACGGUAACGGGCCUUCGGGUGCCGACGAGUGGCGAACGGGUGAGUAAUGCAUCGGAACGUACCUUUCAGUGGGGGAUAACGUAGCGAAAGUUACGCUAAUACCGCAUGUUCUGUGAGCAGGAAAGCAGGGGAUCGCAAGACCUUGCGCUGAUUGAGCGGCCGAUGUCAGAUUAGCUAGUUGGUGAGCGAAAGGCUCACCAAGGCGACGAUGUGUAGCGGGUCUGGGAGGAUGAUCCGCCACACUGGAACUGAGAAACGGUCCAGACUCCUACGGGAGGCAGCAGUGGGGAAUUUUGGACAAUGGGGGCAACCCUGAUCCAGCCAUGCCGCGUGAGUGAAGAAGGCCUUCGGGUUGUAAAGCUCUUUCGGCCGGGAAGAAAUCGUAUGGGCUAAUACCCUGUGCGGAUGACGGUACCGGCAUAAGAAGCACCGGCUAACUACGUGCCAGCCGCCGCAGUAACAC
rnacentral:rRNA from 1 species